rnacentral:rRNA from 1 species
GAUGAACGCUGGCGGCGUGCCUAAUACAUGCAAGUCGAACGCUGGAGAUCUAGCUUGCUAGAUCGAAGGAGUGGCGAACGGGUGAGUAAUACAUAAGCAACCUACCCACGAAGACUGGGAUAAUCUCUGGAAACGGGGACUAAUACCGGAUAGGUAAUCGGAAGGCAUCUUCUGGUUAUUAAAGGUUAAAAACACUGGUGGAUGGGCUUAUGGCGCAUUAGUUAGUUGGUGAGGUAACGGCCCACCAAGACGAUGAUGCGUAGCCGGCCUGAGAGGGUGAACGGCCACAUUGGGACUGAGACACGGCCCAGACUCCUACGGGAGGCAGCAGUAGGGAAGUUUCAGCAAUGGGGGCAACCCUGACCGAGCAACGCCGCGUGAGUGAAGACGGCCUUCGGGUUGUAAAGCUCUGUUGUAAGGGAAGAACGGUAGAUAGAGAAUAUCUAAGUGACGGUACCUUACCAGAAAGCCACGGCUAACUACGUG